rnacentral:rRNA from 1 species
UACGGAGGGUGCAAGCGUUAUCCGGAUUCACUGGGUUUAAAGGGUGCGUAGGCGGGCAGGUAAGUCAGUGGUGAAAUCCCCGAGCUUAACUCGGAACUGCCGUUGAUACUAUCAGUCUUGAAUAUUGUGGAGGUAAGCGGAAUAUGUCAUGUAGCGGUGAAAUGCUUAGAUAUGACAUAGAACACCGAUAGCGAAGGCAGCUUGCUACACAAUUAUUGACACUGAGGCUCGAAAGCGUGGGGAUCAAACAGG